CGGAGCUAACGCGUUAAGUAGACCGCCUGGGGAGUACGGCCGCAAGGUUAAAACUCAAAUGAAUUGACGGGGGCCCGCACAAGCGGUGGAGCAUGUGGUUUAAUUCGAUGCAACGCGAAGAACCUUACCUGGUCUUGACAUCCACRGAASWWUCCAGAGAUGGAYUKGUGCCUUCGGGAACYGUGAGACAGGUGCUGCAUGGCUGUCGUCAGCUCGUGUUGUGAAAUGUUGGGUUAAGUCCCGCAACGAGCGCAACCCUUAUCCUUUGUUGCCAGCGAUUAGGUCGGGAACUCAAAGGAGACUGCCAGUGAUAAACUGGAGGAAGGUGGGGAUGACGUCAAGUCAUCAUGGCCCUUACGACCAGGGCUACACACGUGCUACAAUGGCGCAUACAAAGAGAAGCGACCUCGCGAGAGCAAGCGGACCUCAUAAA
rnacentral:rRNA from 1 species